rnacentral:rRNA from 1 species
UACGUAGGCGGCAAGCGUUGUCCGGAAUCAUUGGGCGUAAAGGGAGCGCAGGCGGAACAUUAAGCGGAUCUUAAAAGUGCGGGGCUCAACCCCGUGAUGGGGUCCGAACUGAGGUUCUUGAGUGCAGGAGAGGAAAGCGGAAUUCCCAGUGUAGCGGUGAAAUGCGUAGAUAUUGGGAAGAACACCAGUGGCGAAGGCGGCUUUCUGGACUGUAGCUGACGCUGAGCUCGAAAGCCGAGGGUAGCGAACGGG